rnacentral:snoRNA from 12 species
UGUCCCUGGCCUGGGUAGAGUGGCAUCUGGCAGGUGGUGCCCAUCUCAUAUCAGUCGGGGACAAAGCAACUCCUUGUUCAUCCCAGCUUGGCUUUUGGUCAGUGCUCUUGCCUGGUUCAUGCCUUGGACACAUGG